CUUUUUGCGAUAGUCUCCCAGAGCACGCAUGCCCACUUCAUGUGCCUUUGAACUUGGGGAAGACAUGCAUGCCAUGGCUGAAGGGAGACCCAAGCUCCAACUCCAGAAAAGGAAGACCCACCAGCACCCCAACCUUUGCUGAAUAGCAGGUGUCCUUUUUCCAGUUUUCUGAGCCAGCUCUGGAGUUGGAACAAAGCUGGGAUUGAGGUGUCAACCCAAGGCGUGUCUGUCCUCUGUGGGGGUGGACGCACUGUCCAGUUUGGUGUCUGUGACCCUCCAAAGCUACCCGAGCUCCCCUGCCAGGUAGGGCCCCAGCUCUGGGGCAGGUAGGGGCCACUUCAGUGGUAUCCUGGGGAUCGGAGUUGGGACACCCAAGAAAUGGUGACUGGCUGUCUACAUACCUCAUCUCCUCACUCCUUCCUCUCUGCUCUCCUCUGCUCUGCUCAGCUCCCCUCCCCUCCCCUCUCCUCCCCUCCCCUCCCCUCUGUUCCCUCUCCGCUCCUCU